UACGUAGGGUGCAAGCGUUAAUCGGAAUUACUGGGCGUAAAGCGUGCGCAGGCGGUUUUGUAAGUCUGUCGUGAAAUCCCCGGGCUUAACCUGGGAAUUGCAUUUGUGACUGCACGGCUAGAGUGUGUCAGAGGGGGGUAGAAUUCCACGUGUAGCAGUGAAAUGCGUAGAUAUGUGGAGGAAUACCGAUGGCGAAGGCAGCCCCCUGGGAUAACACUGACGCUCAUGCACGAAAGCGUGGGGAGCAAACAGG
rnacentral:rRNA from 1 species